UACUGGAAACGGUAGCUAAUACCGCAUAAUGUCGCAAGACCAAAGUGGGGGACCUUCGGGCCUCAUGCCAUCAGAUGUGCCCAGAUGGGAUUAGCUAGUAGGUGGGGUAACGGCUCACCUAGGCGACGAUCCCUAGCUGGUCUGAGAGGAUGACCAGCCACACUGGAACUGAGACACGGUCCAGACUCCUACGGGAGGCAGCAGUGGGGAAUAUUGCACAAUGGGCGCAAGCCUGAUGCAGCCAUGCCGCGUGUGUGAAGAAGGCCUUCGGGUUGUAAAGCACUUUCAGCGGGGAGGAAGGCGUUAAGGUUAAUAACCUUGGCGAUUGAC
rnacentral:rRNA from 1 species